CGGGCUCGGGGGUGCUGGGCUGCUUGUCUCUGGAGAGCAAUGUUGAAUCCCUGAGAAGAGAGAGCAUGGGGCGUGCUGAUUUAAAAACAGAAAAUGCAAAGUCGGACUGAAAAUAUCCUUAGUCUUCCAAGCAAUCUGCUUAAGGGUUCCACACUUACCUUAAUUUGGUGAGCAAAGAAGCUGCCCUAUUUUCCUUUCUUCUUCUUCGACAACUGGAACCAGCCUUUCCCGAACACUACCACCAUG
rnacentral:other from 1 species